GAUGAAGAACGUAGUGAAAUGCGAUAAGUAAUGUGAAUUGCAGAAUUCAGUGAAUCAUCGAAUCUUUGAACGCACCUUGCACCCUUUGGCAUUCCGAAGGGUAUGCUCGUUUGAGUGUCAUUGUACUCUCACACUUCCAAUCUUUGGAUUGGGAGCAGUGGACUUGGGUGUUGCUGCUUACUGUGGCUCACCUCAAAUCGAUUCGUGCACCUCUUGGUUGGACAUAGUACGGCGUGAUAAGUGUCUUCGCCGGCACCUCAGUAGAGGGUGGCUGAUCAGGAGCUCUGUGCUUCAAACCGUCCUCGGACAACAACUGACAACUUGACCUCAAAUCGAGUAGGACUACCCGCUGAACUUAAGCAUAUCAAUAAGCGGAGGA
rnacentral:misc_RNA from 1 species